rnacentral:rRNA from 1 species
CCUACGGGUGGCAGCAGUAGGGAAUCUUCCACAAUGGACGAAAGUCUGAUGGAGCAACGCCGCGUGAGGGCAGAAGGGUUUCGGCUCGUAAAGCUCUGUUGGUAGGGAAGAAAGAUCGCGGUAGUAACUGGCCUUUAUUUGACGGUAAUUACUUAGAAAGUCACGGCUAACUACGUGCCAGCAGCCGCGGUAAUACGUAGGUGGCAAGCGUUGUCCGGAUUUAUUGGGCGUAAAGCGAGUGCCGGCGGGUCAAUAAGUCGGAGGUGAAAGCCUUCGGCUCAACCGGGGAAUUGCAUCAGAAACUGUUGAACUGGAGUGCAGAAGAGGAGAGUGGAACUCCAUGUGUAGCGGUGGAAUGCGUAGAUAUAUGGAGGAACACCAGUGGCGAAGGCGGCUCUCUGGUCUGCAACUGACGCUGAGGCUCGAAAGCAUGGGUAGCGAACAGGAUUAGAUACCCGAGUAGUC